UGUAGUUGGAUGCUGCUAAAGAAUCACAACGACAGAUAGAAAAGUAACAAGAAUAGUUGCAGUAACUUGACGAAUGAUCGCAUCUUCUAGACAAAAAGUCAGUUUAAAAGGAAUCUGAAGGAUUAGAUGAAUAUGGAAUGACAAUAAACUCUUUAUUUAAUGAAUGCCAGCCGUAAAAAAAAUCAAGACAAAUAACAUAUAAGUCAUAAUAACAGGAAAUUGAAAUAUUGAGAGAGGCCCAGAAUUGCAUGAAGCAAAGUCCUUAUGUUUGCGAAUGUUUCAAGACACCAUAGCUUCACACAAAAGUAGAUGAGUUUAGAUUAAUUAAAACAGAAAUUCUCUUCAUCGAGGAAAUUUAAGCGAUUUACUUCAUACCAUCGCUUGACUUGUUGAGAAAAAAAACCAUAUAAGAAGUAGAUGCAAAAGGACGAGAAAAGGGAAUAAAUAUAAUCAGACAAUUGGGGUAAACGUUAAAAA